rnacentral:rRNA from 1 species
UACGUAGGGUGCGAGCGUUGUCCGGAAUUAUUGGGCGUAAAGAGCUCGUAGGCGGUCUGUCACGUCGGAUGUGAAAGCCCGGGGCUUAACCCCGGGUCUGCAUUCGAUACGGGCAGACUAGAGUGUGGUAGGGGAGAUCGGAAUUCCUGGUGUAGCGGUGGAAUGCGCAGAUAUCAGGAAGAACACCCGUGGCGAAGGCGGCUCUCUGGAACGCAACUGACGCUGAGACGCGAAAGCGUGGGGAGCAAACAGG